rnacentral:rRNA from 1 species
UACGGGGGGGGUAAGCGUUGUUCGGAAUUACUGGGCGUAAAGGGCGCGUAGGCGGCCCGCUAAGUCGAACGUGAAAUCCCCGAGCUCAACUCGGGAACUGCGUCCGAUACUGGUGGGCUUGAAUCCGGGAGAGGGAUGCGGAAUUCCAGGUGUAGCGGUGAAAUGCGUAGAUAUCUGGAGGAACACCGGUGGCGAAGGCGGCAUCCUGGACCGACAUUGACGCUGAGGCGCGAAAGCCAGGGGAGCAAACGGG